rfam:Trichobilharzia regenti genome assembly, scaffold: TRE_scaffold0008288
GUACUGAUGAAGAGUCCCGAACUAGGACGAAACGGCUGUCCAGUAC